AGCGGUGGAGCAUGUGGUUUAAAUUCGAUGCUACGCGAAGAACCUUACCCAGGUCUUGACAUCUCUGCCAACGUAAGAGAUUAGGCGUUCCCUUUCGGGGACAGAAUGACAGGUGGUGCAUGGUUGUCGUCAGCUCGUGUCGUGAGAUGUUGGGUUAAGUCCCGCAACGAGCGCAACCCUUAUUGUUAGUUGCCAGCACUCAGUUGGGCACUCUAGCAAGACUGCCGGUGACAAACCGGAGGAAGGUGGGGAUGACGUCAAAUCAUCAUGCCCCUUAUGACCUGGGCUACACACGUGCUACAAUGGACGGUACAACGAGUUGCGAAACCGCGAGGUCAAGCUAAUCUCUUAAAGCCGUUCUCAGUUCGGAUUGUAGGCUGCAACUCGCCUACAUGAAGUUGGAAUCGCUAGUAAUCGUGGAUCAGCAUGCCACGGUGAAUACGUUCCCGGGCCUUGUAUACACCGCCCGUCACACCAUGAGAGUUUGUAACACCCAAAGCCGGUGAGGUAACCUUCGGGGACCAGCCGUCUAAGGUGGGACAGAUGAUUAGGGUGAAGUCG
rnacentral:rRNA from 1 species